GAGGGUACAGCUCAGUGGUACAGUGCAUGCUUAGCUUGCACAAGGUCCUGGGUUCAAACCUCAGUACCUUCA
rfam:Camelus ferus unplaced genomic scaffold scaffold394, whole genome shotgun sequence.